rnacentral:rRNA from 1 species
ACGGAAGGCAGCAGUGGGGGAUAUUGCACAAUGGGGGAAACCCUGAUGCAGCAACGCCGCGUGAGGGAAGACGGUUUUCGGAUUGUAAACCUCUGUCUUUGGUGAAGAAGAAGUGACGGUAGCCAAGGAGGAAGCCACGGCUAACUACGUGCCAGCAGCCGCGGUAAUACGUAGGUGGCAAGCGUUGUCCGGAAUUACUGGGUGUAAAGGGAGCGCAGGCGGGUCCGCAAGUCAGCUGUGAAAUAUACGGGCUUAACCCGUAGACUGCAGUUGAAACUGUGGAUCUUGAGUGAAGUAGAGGUAGGCGGAAUUCCGAGUGUAGCGGUGAAAUGCGUAGAUAUUCGGAGGAACACCAGUGGCGAAGGCGGCCUACUGGGCUUUAACUGACGCUGAGGCUCGAAAGUGUGGGGAGCAAACAGGAUUAGAUACCCUGGUA